UUUCCGUAGGUGAACCUGCGGAAGGAUCAUUACCGAGCGAGGGCCCUCUGGGUCCAACCUCCCACCCGUGUCUCUUGUACGUCGUUGCUUCGGCGGGCCCGCCUAACGCCCGCCGGGGGGCAUCUCGCCCCCGGGCCCGCGCCCGCCGAAGACACCCACGAACUCUGUCUGAAGAAUGCAGUCUGAGUGAAAUGAUAAAUUACUUAAAACUUUCAACAACGGAUCUCUUGGUUCCG
rnacentral:misc_RNA from 1 species